AAUAGCCACUUCUUUCAAGGAUCAACUUCUUCUUGGAGGAGGACGAACUCAGCUACAACCCGUAACCAGACUCACUCCUAUCGGAAAAAUUCCUACCAUUGCCAAAAUAGACACUACCCAAGCCAUCCUUGAACAAAUAAAACUAACCAAGGAAAAAUUUCUCGAAUACUUCGAAGAAAUAAAUACCUACCCAGAAAAAACCAUCUACAAACAUAUAUACCCAAAAAACCAUCAAGGCCUUGGCCCAAAAGCAGUGGUACUUCCCGAAGCAGACCCAAUACUUACAAAAAACCUCCAUGAAUAUGGACUUAUAGAAACCCUUUAUAUACGAAAACCCGAUUACCAACUAAAACACUUCCCGAUCGGAUUAAAAACAGCUAUUUCAAGGUAUUUUUCAGGAUAUGCUAAAGGAAAGGAAGUAUUUCUUCAGUAUUAUAGCAACCACCCAGAACUCAACCAAACAGGAUUAAGCUGCCCAGCAAUCAAAUUAAUAAUAAUGGGGAUUAGUAACGAGCAAUAUCCAACCAAAGAUGGUGCAGCAAACAUUCACUACGAUGAAGACGACCUGGUUCUAGUCGAUGCUGAAUUAACCAUAGGAAUACUCAGAAAACUUGUCUACAUGAACGACUUCUUCCGACUCAACUACAAAUCCGACUCAACACUUUUACUCACCAAAUCAACCAAAGAAUUCGACAUCCAAGAAAUUAUAGGCCCGAUAGUCUACAAAAUAUGGGACAAUGGGAUCAUCAAAAGUCUGCAAUAUCAUCAAACAAUGUGUAGACUACUCAUUCAAAGCCAGCUACAGGACAAGAUCAACGAAAAACACAAAUGCUCGAUCUGUACAGACAAAUCCGAGGAAGCCCAAGAAGAAAAGGCCCAAGAAGACUCUAGUGAUGAUCCAAUAAUAGAAGACGAAGCAACACCGACAAAGGCAAUAAACAUGUGAGGAAAAUAGGUCGGCAACCACUCGUAACCACUUAGAAAAAUCAAUAAUGUAAUCUUAUCUUUUUCUUUUUAUUGGCCGAGAUAAGAUUUCGAUCUUAUCUUCUUAUCUUUAGUAAUGUCUCCGUUGUAAUAUAAAAAGAUGCAUAAGGCAUCGAUGAAUAAUAAGACUUAAGCGAGUUUGUAUAAUUUGGUUAUCUAACCCUUCUGUUGAGACUUCGUCUCUGAAUAGCAGAAAAAACAAAUACAAAACUCGAAAAUAAUUUGGUAUCAGAGCCUCCAUCAUCUUGCCUUUGGAGUCACUAAGAUGAUUGUCCCUUCGGGGACAUCCGAUAAAAUUGGAACGAUACAGAGAAGAUUAGCAUGGCCCCUGCGCAAGGAUGACACGCACAAAUCGAGAAAUGUUCUCAUGGUCGGGAAGAUGCUGUCAACCAAUGAAGUACAUAUCCUUGCUUUGAUUAAAACGGUUGGGCUUUAAACUCCAGUGGAAACAGAGGUUCUGAAUGAAAUUAAAACAAAAAACAGUCUGUUGCUUUGCUUGUUUUAAAAUCAAAUCUUCGAUAUACACGACCACCACAGGAUGGUUUUCACUCCACAAAGUUUAUAACUAAAUGACCCACCACUUUAAAUCGAAUAAAGUUUACAACUUUGCAACUAA